AAAAGAAAGCCGAGAUAGCU
rnacentral:tRNA from 1 species